rnacentral:rRNA from 1 species
AUGCCCAGUAGGCAGUAUGAAGCGGAAGACAUCCUCGAUCUGAUUGAUUAUCACAAGACCGAGAGGAAGUUUGUCCUUAAAUCGCAUGGCAGCAGCUGGCCGCAUCGCCUACAUGGCACUGUGUCCACCUGCAACAUGAGCUGCACAGGGAUUGCACUUGCACAUAUAAUCUGGCAGGGAUCAGCUUGGCUACUGCAGUUGGUGCGGAAGAGCUCCUUGAGUAGGUUUUCAUUCCUCCACAGGUCAGAUGAUGUACUUCCGGUGACGACCAGUGCCACGCCGUCGCCCUCCGAUGAGACAGUUCCGGCGGCUACCAGUGCUGCACCCAAGUUCUGCUGCAGCUCCAUAUUCUACUGGUUCCUUGAUGCGGGUGCCCGCAUUUACCGAAACUGGUUUUCUGACGUGGUUGGCAUCACUGGCUACAAGGAGAAUGCCACUGAGUUGGAUUAUGUCCUUCUUAGUGUCUCAAGACGGAACCUGAAGGAAAGAAUAGAGAAAGUACAAAAAAACAUCAGUUUAGUGCAUCUCUUGGUAGCAAGCAAGAGCGCAGCGAAUGAUAUUGUUAACAUGCACAGGAGAAAAAUUACAUCAUGUAGCAGCAAGAGGGAGGUAUUUGGUCGAGACAUAUUGCUUACUGAUAUCAUGGUGAGACACCACCUAAUAGUAUAG